rnacentral:tRNA from 1 species
GGGUGUAACUCAGUGGUAGAGUGCUUGCCUAGCAUGUGUGAGGCCCUGGGUUUGAGCCCCUACACUACA